UGCAUCGGCCGGGAAUCGAACCCGGGCAGCCCACGUGGCAGGCGAGCAUGCUAUCACUGAGCCACCGAUGC
rnacentral:tRNA from 1 species